rnacentral:rRNA from 1 species
AACGAACGCUGGCGGCAUGCCUAACACAUGCAAGUCGAACGAGACCUUCGGGUCUAGUGGCGCACGGGUGCGUAACGCGUGGGAACCUGCCCUUAGGUUCGGAAUAACUCCCCGAAAGGGGUGCUAAUACCGGAUAAUGUCUUCGGACCAAAGAUUUAUCGCCUUUGGAUGGGCCCGCGUUGGAUUAGCUAGUUGGUAGGGUAAAAGCCUACCAAGGCGACGAUCCAUAGCUGGUCUGAGAGGAUGAUCAGCCACACUGGGACUGAGACACGGCCCAGACUCCUACGGGAGGCAGCAGUGGGGAAUAUUGGAAAAUGGGCGAAAGACUGAUCCAGCAAGGCAGCGUGAGUGAUGAAGGCCUUAGGGUUGUAAAGCUCUUUUAACCGGGAUGAUAAUGACAGUACCGGGAGAAUAAGCCCCGGCUAACUCCGUG